rnacentral:rRNA from 1 species
UACAGAGGUCUCAAGCGUUGUUCGGAUUCAUUGGGCGUAAAGGGUGCGUAGGUGGCGUCGUAAGUCAGGUGUGAAAUCUCGGGGCUUAACUCCGAAACUGCAUUUGAUACUGCGGUGCUUGAGGACUGGAGAGGAGACUGGAAUUUACGGUGUAGCAGUGAAAUGCGUAGAGAUCGUAAGGAAGACCAGUGGCGAAGGCGACUCGCUGGUCUUUUGCUGACGCUGAGACGCGAAAGCGUGGGGAGCAAACAGG